GGAGAGUUGGCAGAGCGGUUUAAUGCACCGGUCUUGAAAACCGGCGACGCUGCAGGGCGUCCGUGAGUUCGAAUCUCACACUCUCCGCCA
rnacentral:tRNA from 1 species